rnacentral:rRNA from 1 species
AGAGUUUGAUCAUGGCUCAGGAUGAACGCUAGCGGCAGGCUUAACACAUGCAAGUCGAGGGGCAGCACGGGUAGCAAUAUCUGGUGGCGACCGGCGCAAGGGUGCGUAACGCGUGAGCAACAUGCCCGUAUCAGGGGAAUAAUCCAGGGAAACUUGGUCUAAUACCCCAUAGUAAAUAUUAAAGGCAUCUUUAAUAUUUUAAAGCUUUGGUGGAUACGGAUUGGCUCGCGUGACAUUAGCUAGAUGGUAAGGUAACGGCUUACCAUGGCUACGAUGUCUAGGGGUUCUGAGAGGAAGAUCCCCCACACUGGAACUGAGACACGGUCCAGACUCCUACGGGAGGCAGCAGUGAGGAAUAUUGGACAAUGGAUGGAAAUCUGAUCCAGCCAUGCCGCGUGCAGGAAGACGGCCCUAUGGGUUGUAAACUGCUUUUAUAUGGGAGCAAUAAGACCUACGUGUAGGUUGAUGAGAGUACCAUAUGAAUAAGCACCGGCUAACUCCGUGCCAGCAGCCGCGGUAAUACGGAGGGUGCAAGCGUUAUCCGGAUUUAUUGGGUUUAAAGGGUGCGUAGGCGGUUUGAUAAGUCAGCGGUGAAAUAUUUCAGCUUAACUGGAAGGGUGCCGUUGAUACUGUCAGGCUUGAAUUUAGUUGCUGUGGGUGGAAUGUGUGGUGUAGCGGUGAAAUGCAUAGAUAUCACACAGAAUAUCGAUUGCGAAGGCAGCUCACAAAGCUAAUAUUGACGCUGAUGCACGAAAGUGUGGGGAUCAAACAGGAUUAGAUACCCUGGUAGUCCACACUGUAAACGAUGAUAACUCGCUGUCGGCGAUACAUAGUCGGUGGUCAAGCGAAAGCGAUAAGUUAUCCACCUGGGGAGUACGACCGCAAGGUGAAACUCAAAUGAAUUGACGG